CCCAACCUCUGAGGCGCCGCUUCUCAUCUUCUCCUCUUCCUUUUCUUCUCUAUUUUCUCUCCUCUUCUCCUCAGACUCUCUCCGUUCCUGUCCUUUUCCUCCCUCUCUCUCUCUCUCUCUCUCUCUCUCUCUCUCUCUCUCUCUCGUGCUUUCGCUCGUAUUUAUUCUUGAUUCCACGACCUCUGAAAGCUUCAAUAAAACUUCCAGACGAGUGAAGAUCCGCACAAGUCUAGAUUAGUAGUUCAUUUUGGAAUCUCAUUACUUGAUUCGAUGUUAACCCUGAUUUUGUUUCUCUUAACUUUUGCCGGUGAUUUCGCUUGUGAAGGCCACCAAAUUUCUCAUUUUCUCUAAAAUCUGGCCUCAAACAACCCUUUCCAUUCCAACACAUGGGCGGGUCAACAGAAUCCUAAUCAACAGUAAGCUCUCAAGCUUCGCCCACCGCCGCUUUGUUCUUCUUUUUCUUCCCCGUGCUGCGCCGUUCUUUGCAGAUGCUUGUAGAUCGAUAGUUGAUUGCGAUUUGUGUGUGAAAAGUGCAGGUUAAGGAGGGAAAAGAGAUGACCAGUGGGAUGCUGCUCGUGGAAUUCUUAGUAUCUGAUCUCAUCAAUUUUUUGGGUUUUCUUUUAUAGUGGUGCUGCAAUUGGACAUUUCUUUGGUUCUUUUCGCUCGCACGCUUGUCUCAUCAAUUUAUUGGAAGUGGUUCAGGUUGUUAUGGGAUAAUGUAAUGAGUUUACGUUUCUUUAGAUUGAGGCUGAUUUACAGAUGAAUUCCAUGUUCAGGAUGGAAAAAAACUACUUGAUUACGUGGCUGAACAUAUUCAAUAGUAGUCUAUGAUGCAAGAGGAGGAUUCCUAAAACUAAUAGAUUUGUAGAUGUAAAUUACAGCUCCAGUAGCUAUUAGCUGUUGAGGAGUUAGGUCUAUCUUUACAAAUGCUAAUAUCAUCAAAGAAUGGAAGCAAGAGGUAGAGCAAUACCAAAGAAAAAUUCAGUUAUGUAUGAAGUCAAGCCUUGUGUAUGGUUUAGUGGUUAUCUUUUUGGCAGGAAGUUUCAAAGUCUGCUGAUUGUUCCCUUGAGGAAAGCACAACUCCAACGAUAGUAUUGCAGAAUGAGAGCAAAAUUUAUGUCAUCGAAAUGAUAGAAAAGAAUUUCCAUCAAAACUGAAAUUUGCGGCUGAUCAUUCUCUCGAAGAAGGCGAAAUGCUUGUUUUUCUUCCUCAAUCCAGCAAUUCUUUUGCUGUUGUUGUCCUUAACAAAAACGAAUUGAAAAUAUGUAUCUAUGGCAUUAUAAAAUUUAUUCUGUUUCUAAAAUAUAUAAUGUAAUUUGAUUGUGGUUAGCGCAUGUUGCUUUCUUGUGA